AGGCUUACCCAAAGGAAACAGACCAGUUAUACCAAUGUAUCAUGACAUUGGCCUCAACCAUAAAUCCUGUUUCAAUGCAUUCUUUAACUCUGAGGAUAUGCACGAGAUCACCCAGCAUUUUGCUGUCUGUCAUGUGGAUGCCCCAGGCCAGCAGGAAGGUGCACCCUCUUUCCCAACAGGGUAUCAGUACCCCACAAUGGAUGAGCUGGCCGAAAUGCUGCCUCCUGUUCUUACCCACCUAAGCCUGAAAAGCAUCAUUGGUAUUGGAGUUGGAGCUGGAGCUUACAUCCUCAGCAGAUUUGCACUCAACCAUCCAGAGCUUGUGGAAGGCCUUGUGCUCAUUAAUGUUGACCCUUGCGCAAAAGGCUGGAUUGACUGGGCAGCUUCCAAACUCUCUGGCCUGACAACCAAUGUUGUGGACAUUAUUUUGGCUCAUCACUUUGGGCCGGAAGAGUUACAGGCCAACCUGGACCUGAUCCAAACCUACAGAAUGCAUAUUGCCCAAGACAUCAACCAAGACAACCUGCAGCAAUUCUUGAAUUCCUACAAUGGACGCUGAGACCUGGAGAUCAAAAGACCCAUACUGGGCCAAAAUGAUAAAAUCAAAAACAUUAAAGUCUUCUACUUUACUGGUGGAAGGGACAAUUCGCCUGCAGUUGAGGCUGUGGUCAAAUGCAAUUCCCGCCUGAACCCUGUAAAUACAACUCCGCUAAAGAUGGCAGAUUGUGGGGGACUGCCCCAGGUAGUUCAGCCUGGGAAGCUCAAAGAGGCCUUCAAGUACUUUUUGCAGGGAAUGGGCUACAUACCAUCUGCCAGCAUGACUCGGCUCGCCCGAUCACGAACCCACUCAACCUCGAGUAGCCUCGGCUCUGGAGAAAGUCCCUUCAGCCGGUCUGUCACCAGCAAUCAGUCAGAUGGAACUCAAGAAUCCUGUGAGUCCCCUGAUGUCCUGGACAGACACCAGACCAUGGAGGUGUCCUGCUAAGCAGAUGCUCCUCCCCUGGACCAUUGCAAGUCCAUCCUCCUUCAAAUGACCACUCCAUAAUAUAACAUUUCAUCCA